UGGAAGUUUGAGGCAAUACCAGGUCUGUGAUGCCCUUAGAUGUCCGGGGCUGCACGCGCGCUACACUGACUGGCUCAGCGUGUGCCUACCCUACGCCGGCAGGCGCGGGUAACCCGUUGAACCCCAUUCGUGAUGGGGAUCGGGGAUUGCAAUUAUUCCCCAUGAACGAGGAAUUCCCAGUAAGUGCGGGUCAUAAGCUUGCGUUGAUUAAGUCCCUGCCCUUUGUACACACCGC
rnacentral:rRNA from 14 species